CAGCAGCCACGGUAAUACGAAGGGGGCUAGCGUUGUUCGGAUUUACUGGGCGUAAAGCGCACGUAGGCGGAUCGAUCAGUCAGGGGUGAAACCCUGGAGCUCAACUCCAGAACUGCCUUUGAUACUGUCGAUCUCGAGUCCGGAAGAGGUGAGUGGAACUCCUAGUGUAGAGGUGGAAUUCGUAGAUAUUAGGAAGAACACCAGUGGCGAAGGCGGCUCACUGGUCCGGUACUGACGCUGAGGUGCGAAAGCGUGGGGAGCAAACAGGAUUAGAUACCCGCGUAGUCCCUGUCUCUUAUAC
rnacentral:rRNA from 1 species